UACGUAGGGGGCAAGCGUUGUCCGGAUUUACUGGGUGUAAAGGGUGCUCAGGUGGACUUUUAAGUCAGAGGUGAAAUCCCAAAGCUUAACUUUGGAGCUGCCUUUGAUACUGAAAGUCUUGAGUUUGAGAGAGGGCAAUGGAAUAUCUGGUGUAGCAGUGAAAUGCGUAGAUAUCAGGUAGAACACCAAUGGCGAAGGCAGUUGCCUGGCUCAAAACUGACGCUAAAGCACGAAAGUGUGGGGAGCAAACAGG
rnacentral:rRNA from 1 species